rnacentral:rRNA from 1 species
AACGUAGGAGACAAACGUUAUCCGGAGUUACUGGGCGUAAAGGGCGUGUAGGCGGUUUGUUAAGUCUGGCGUGAAAGCCUCUCGGCUAAACCGGGAGAGGUCGUUGGAUACUGGCAAACUAGAGGACGGUAGAGGCGUGUGGAAUUCCGGGUGUAGUGGUGAAAUGCGUAGAGAUCCGGAGGAACACCAGUGGCGAAGGCGACACGCUGGGCCGUACCUGACG